GAGAAAUCCAUUUUAAAAACAUUUGCAAGUACUAUGUGGUCAAGAACCCGCUUACGUGAACUCCCUACAGUAGAAAAGUAAAAAUCACAUUUCGGCGGUUUGAAGAAAGCCAUUAUUACUGGAUGAAGAAUUUUCUCUGUUUCUCUUUGCUCUCUGUAACAACUACCAUUACCAAACCCUAAAUAAGGUGUUAAAUGUUAUCACUGUCACAAUCACUCGCACCGUCGUCACGCCGGUGUAUCGCCAUUCGCCACACAAAUGGACGCCAAUGAAGCCAGAAUUCUCCUCGGUUUCCCACCCAAUUCGCGUCCAACUCCUUCCGAGGUUAAAUCAGCUUAUAAACAGAAGGUGUGGGAAUCUCACCCUGACCUAUUUCCAUCUCAUGAGAAGCCUCUUGCUGAAUCCAAGUUUAAAUCGAUUUCCGAAGCUUACACAUGUCUAUUGCCUGGUGGUAGAGGAGAAGCUUCAACUUCAGCUGAAUAUUGGCGAGUUGUGAGAACCGGAGUUCCAAGGGCCAGCGGAGGAAGAAAAAAUCAUGCUAUGAUUAAAGUUCCAUUCCUUUUAAUUAUUCUGGGAACUGUUGCACUUGGAGGGUUUCAGGCUUCAAGAGCUUACAAAAGGCAAAAGGAGGAAUACCCUUCACACAACCCAUUUCUUCCUUGAUGACCUCCUGGGCAGGAAUCAAUUGCAAUUGGGAGUUAAUAUACUCCUACAAUGUAUUUAAAUGAUAGUUUCAUACUUGAUAACAAAUUUGGAAGGAUUCUAUAAUGGUGAAUUCUAACACGGGACGCCAUCAUAGGUGGUCUAUGGUGCAUCAAAGUUAUUAUAUAUUGGAUUAACCUCGUUAA